rnacentral:rRNA from 1 species
AAGGAUUAGUAUUCUUAUCUAUAGUAGGUAUACUAACAAGUGUAGUAGGUGGUGUUUAUUACUUAGGAAUAAUUAAAGAAAUUUUCUUUACAAAACCUGAUUAUAAAGUAAAUACUUUAUUAGAAAACUUAACAUUAAAAGGUAAUGUAUUGGACAGCAAUAGAAGUGUUGUUAGAAGUGUAAACUUCAAAUAUAAUAACAUAGCUAUCUCAAGUCCUAUAGCUUUUGUUAUAUCUACAAUAACAUUAGUAAUAUUAUCAUUUAUAUUUAUAAAUAAAGAAUGACUAAGCAUGGGUACCAUAUUGGUACAAAUCUUAUUUAACUGUUAAAUGAGUAGUGUUACUUUCUUAUUUAUUCUUGUAUGUGCUAUAGCUAUAUUAUUCUUAGUACUUAAUUUUGUAUUAGCACCUCAUAAUCCUUAUCAAGAAAAGUAUAGUAUAUUCGAGUGUGGUUUCCAUAGUUUCUUAGGACAGAAUAGAGCUCAAUUCGGAGUUAAAUUCUUCAUAUUUGCAUUAGUGUAUCUAGUGUUAGAUUUAGAAUUACUAGUAAUAUACCCAUUUGGAAUGAGUGGAUAUGAAAAUGGUGUAUAUGGUUUAAUUAUAGUAUUACUAUUUAUAGGUAUUAUUACUGCUGGAUUCGUAUUUGAAUUAGGUAAAGGUGCCUUAAAAAUAGAUAGUAGACAAUCAUACAACUAUUUUAACAAAUCAAAAAAUUUUGUUAACACAUUUAUAGAAAAUAAAUAAUCAAUAAUUAAUAAAAUUUAAUUAAUAUAUUAGCAAUAUGACAAGUAUGUCUUUAUUAUUUUGUGAAAUUUAAAUUUCUAACUAAAAAGCACAACAAUUUACGAGAUUUUUAUUUUUUAAUAUUAUACAAAUAUUAUGUUACAAUCAUCAAAAAUAUUAGGAGCAGGAUUAGCUACAGUAGGUGUAGCAGGAGCUGGAGUUGGAAUCGGAGUAGUGUUCGGAUGUUUAAUCUUAGGUGUUGCUAGAAACCCUUCAUUAAAAAACCAAUUAUUCACUUACUCAAUAUUAGGUUUCGCUUUCUCAGAAGCUACAGCAUUAUUCGCUUUAAUGAUGUCAUUACUUUUAUUAUACGUUGCAUAAUACGUAUUAAUUAAAGUUUAUAGAGGAUAGGGUGGGUAGGGUUGUUAGUAUUACUAACAAAAAAUUCAACAAUUCUAUUUCAAUUAGAAAUUUAGUUAUAAUUACAUUAUGAAAAACUUAUUAAAUUCAUUUGUAUCUUUUGACGCACCUGUUGCUUGAGGUAUUUACUUCCAAGACAGUGCUACACCACAAAUGGAAGGAUUAAUAGAAUUACAUGAUAAUAUUAUGUAUUACUUAGUAUUAAUCUUAUUCGCUGUGGGAUGAGUAUUAUUCUCAAUAAUAAGAAAUUUUGCUGCUGCAAAAGCACCUAUAUCACAUAAAUACUUAAAUCACGGUACUUUAAUCGAAUUAAUAUGAACUAUAACACCAGCUGUUAUAUUAAUAUUAAUUGCAUUCCCUUCAUUUAAAUUAUUAU